rnacentral:rRNA from 1 species
CCUCGGGCGGCAGCAGUGGGGAAUCUUGCGCAAUGGGCGAAAGCCUGACGCAGCAACGCCGCGUGUGUGAUGAAGGUCUUCGGAUCGUAAAGCACUGUCGCGAGGGACGAAUAAGGGUCGGGUUAACAUCCCGGUCCGAUGACGGUACCUCGAAAGGAAGCACCGGCUAACUCUGUGCCAGCAGCCGCGGUAAUACAGAGGGUGCCAGCGUUGUUCGGAAUUAUUGGGCGUAAAGCGCGUGUAGGCGGCUCAGUAAGUCAGGUGGGAAAGCCCUCGGCGUAACCGAGGAAGUGCGCCUGAAACUGUUGAGCUUGAGUGCCGGAGAGGGGGGCGGAAUUCCCGGUGUAGAGGUGAAAGUCGUAGAUAUCGGGAGGAACACCAGCGGCGAAGGCGGCCACCUGGACGGUUACUGACGCUGAGACGCGAAAGCGUGGGGAGCAAACA